AUACGUAGGUGACAAGCGUUAUCCGGAUUUACUGGGCGUAAAGGGCGUGUAGGCGGUCUUGCAAGUCAGAAGUGAAAUUCCUGAGCUCAACUCGGGCGCUGCUUCUGAAACUGCAGGACUUGAGUGCUGGAGGGGAUAGCGGAAUUCCUAGUGGAGCGGUAAAAUGCGCAGAUAUUAGGAAGAACACCGGUGGCGAAGGCGGCGAUCUGGACAGUAACUGACGCUGAGGCGCGAAAGCGUGGGGAGCAAACAGGAUUAGAUCCCCUGGUAGUCCACGCCGUAAACGAUGAAUACUAGGUGUAGGGGGUAUCGACUCCCUCUGUGCCGCAGUUAACACAAUAAGUAUUCCGCCUGGGGAGUACGGCCGCAAGGUUGAAACUCAAAUGAAUUGACGGGG
rnacentral:rRNA from 1 species